rnacentral:rRNA from 1 species
AAUUAACCUGGCGGCUGCUUAACAUGCACUCAAACGGCAGCACGGGAGCAUCCUGGUGUGUCGAGUGGCGAACGGGUGAGUAAUAUAUCGGAACGUGCCCAGUCGUGGGGGAUAACGCAGCGAAAGCUGUGCUAAUACCGCAUACGAUCUACGGAUGAAAGCGGGGGAUCGCAAGACCUCGCGCGAUUGGAGCGGCCGAUAUCAGAUUAGCUAGUUGGUGGGGUAAAGGCCCACCAAGGCGACGAUCUGUAGCUGGUCUGAGAGGACGACCAGCCACACUGGAACUGAGACACGGUCCAGACUCCUACGGGAGGCAGCAGUGGGGAAUUUUGGACAAUGGGCGCAAGCCUGAUCCAGCAAUGCCGCGUGCAGGAUGAAGGCCUUCGGGUUGUAAACUGCUUUUGUACGGAACGAAACGGUGAGCUCUAAUAAAGUUUGCUAAUGACGGUACCGUAAGAAUAAGCACCGGCUAACUACGUGCCAGCAGCCGCGGUAAUACGUAGGGUGCGAGCGUUAAUCGGAAUUACUGGGCGUAAAGCGUGCGCAGGCGGUUAUGUAAGACAGAUGUGAAAUCCCCGGGCUCAACCUGGGACCUGCAU